UCGGAAACAUCCGAUAAAAUUGGAACGAUACAGAGAAGAUUAGCAUGGCCCCUGCGCAAGGAUGACACGCAUAAAUCGAGAAAUGGUCCAAAUUUUUUUGCCGUCUUCACAAAAUUUUCCCUUCUGUUCCAAGCGACGGAAGCCCUAGAUCAACCUCCCGCAGCCUCUCCUCGAUUUCACGAAUCAAUAAGUUUUUUUUUUUUAUUCUUCGACUUCAUCUUCGUUCGUGUUUGCCGGCAACGGAAGCCCUAGAGAAUAAUCACACUCCUCUUCAGCCUUUCCUCGAUUUCGCUAUCGACCCAUCGGUGAACUUUCUUAAUUUUCCUUUCGAUCUUUUGAGGGGAACUGGUCUUCUUUUUUUCGAUCGACCCGUAAGAGUAUACUACAUUUCUUCUUUGAAGCUUUCUGUUAUAUACGAAUUUAAUCUCUGCAUAGUUAGCGGAGCGUGUUCAUCUAAAACGGUUCAUGUAUUGUUUUUUUGUUGAGUUCUCUUAUUUUGCUUCAAUAAUUACUAAUUGUCAAUCUUCUCAACUUUUGAUGUUAGACUAUCAUCUGGAAAAGACAAAGAAAUGGUUUGAAUUAUUGACAGUAAUUCACAUUCAAGUUUUGAUUUUCUUCAUUUUACGGUUUCUUUUACUGUUCUCAUGAUUGCAUUACAGCAGUACCCAGUUAUGCCAUGAUUUGAUAAACUGAAAAUUUUGGAUGGUUCAGAUAAGAUUAAAGGAUCAUCAAAAUCAUUCUUGUAAAGAUCUUUUGUUUUGCAGUGCAUUAAAAGAAAACUUUUGAAAUUGAGCAGCUACAGCUCACAAAAUAUAUGUCAGUGAGUUAAUGGAAAAUAUAUGUUUUGAGAUCAGCUAAAGCUUGGAAUGGUUGGUAAUCUCAAAGUUCAAAACCCUCUAAAUGUAUUACCUUAUGAUGAUGUACGGACACGGACAUAGCGACACGGAUACGACAUGACACGGGUCUGGGCCGACUUAGCGUGUCGUGUUGGACACUGCACACCUCUUUGUGGAGAAGUGUCAUUGCAUCAUAGGUAUUUACGUAGACGAUACAAAAGUAAGCGUUGCUAUUUGAUCAUGAUUUGAGAGCCUAAGAUCCUACAACAAUAUAUUCCAGCACUGUGACAGUCUGUGAUUUACUAUAUCCUGCCCACAAUGGCCUUUUGUUGUGAUUUACUGAGCUUUCUGUGGCUUCUUCAGUGACUAUUGGGGUUGUGGGAUUUAUGUUUUCAUGUGAGAUUUUUAUGGAUUGUAUCCCAAUGAAUAGGAAAAUCUGAGUAAUUUUGUCAUUACAAAUAGGGAUCUUAGACUUGUACUUGAGGAACAUUUGUUUAUACUAACAAAGUUUUUGUUA